rnacentral:sRNA from 1 species
AAAAGACAAACAAAUUAGCAUAACAUUAACUUAGAAAAAAAUGUUAUAUGACAUAGACAAAAUAUGCACACAGCGAACCAAAAUUUAGAAGAAGAAUUAUCGUAUUUCUAUUGAUGUUAUAAGGAGUCGCCUUCUGCAUCUUCUUUUCCUAACAUGAUACUCUCGUUCCUCGUCUUCUUCACAUGUUUAUUAUCCUAUCACUACUUAAUACAAACUAAUAAUUCUUUUUGUAUGGCUAAUGUAAAUGACUAACUAGAUUAAAUUACCA